GGUUUCGUGGUCUAGUUGGUUAUGAUUCCUCGCUAACACCGAGGAGGUCCCCGGUUCGAGCCCGGGCGAAACCA